CAGCCGCCGCGGUAAUACCGGCGGCCCGAGUGGCGGUCACUAUUAUUGGGCUUAAAGCGUCCGUAGCCGGGUUGGGAAGUCCUCCGGGAAAUCUGGCCGCUUAACGGUCAGAAUGCCGGAGGAUACUCCCAGCCUAGGGAGCGGGAGAGGCCGAGGGUAUUCCCGGAGUAGGGGUGAAAUCCUAUAAUCCCGGGAGGACCACCUGUGGCGAAGGCGCUCGGCUGGAACGCGUCCGACGGUGAGGGACGAAGGCCAGGGGAGCAAACCGGAUUAGAUACCCGGGUAGUCCUGGCUGUAAAUGAUGCGGACUUUGUGUCGGACAAGCUAUGAGCUUGUCCGGUGCCGGAGGGAAACCGUUAAGUCCGCCGCCUGGGGAGUACGGCCGCAAGGCUGAAACUUAAAGGAAUUGGCGGG
rnacentral:rRNA from 1 species